rnacentral:rRNA from 1 species
UACGUAGGGGGCAAGCGUUGUCCGGAUUUACUGGGCGUAAAGAGCGCGCAGGCGGUCGUUCAAGUCGCGUGUGAAAGCCCCCGGCUCAACUGGGGAGGGUCACGCGAUACUGAUCGACUCGAAGGCAGGAGAGGGUAGUGGAAUUCCCGGUGUAGUGGUGAAAUGCGUAGAUAUCAGGAGGAACACCGGUGGCGAAGGCGGGUCUCUGGGCAGUAACUGACGCUGAGGAGCGAAAGCGUGGGGAGCGAACAGG